AUGCAAGUCGAACGCGAAAGGGACUUCGGUCCUGAGUAAAGUGGCGCACGGGUGAGUAACGCGUAGAUAACCUGUCUUCAUGUCUGGAAUAAUACACCGAAAGGGGUACUAAUACCGGAUAUUCUUGCUUUAUAUAAGUUUUGCAAGCAAAGGUGGCCUCUGAUUCAAGCUACUGCAUGUAGAGGGGUCUGCGUACCAUUAGCUAGUAGGUAGGGUAAUGGCCUACCUAGGCAACGAUGGUUAGCGGGUCUGAGAGGAUGAUCCGCCACACUGGCACUGGAACACGGGCCAGACUCCUACGGGAGGCAGCAGUGAGGAAUAUUGCGCAAUGGGGGCAACCCUGACGCAGCGACGCCGCGUGAGUGAGGAAGGCCUUCGGGUCGUAAAGCUCUGUCAAGAGGAAGGAAAUGCAUAGCGGUUAAUACCCGCUAUGUUUGACGGUACCUCUAAAGGAAGCACCGGCUAACUCCGUGCCAGCAGCCGCGGUAAUACGGAGGGUGCAAGCGUUGUUCGGAAUCACUGGGCGUAAAGGGCGCGCAGGCGGUUUGGUAAGUCAGAUGUGAAAGCCCACGGCUUAACCGUGGAAGUGCAUUUGAUACUGCUAGACUUGAGUACCAGAGGGGAAAGUGGAAUUCCCGGUGUAGAGGUGAAAUUCGUAGAUAUCGGGAGGAAUACCGGUGGCGAAGGCGACUUUCUGGCUGAGUACUGACGCUGAGGCGCGAAAGCGUGGGGAGCAAACAGGAUUAGAUACCCUGGUAGU
rnacentral:rRNA from 1 species